ACUACCAGUCUCUUACACUCAUAGAUUUCAAGUGUCUGCAAGGAUUGAAGGAUGGUUGGCAACCUUCCCAGCAAUAAAGGACAUUUUCUGAUUGAAAGAAAACGAAGGCUGGGGAAUUUCGAUACUUGCUCAUCAUCUUCACAUAGGUCCCACUCCUCCCAAUUCAGCAUAUUGCCAAAACGCAGAGACUCUAAUGAUGCAAAAGCAUUUGAUUGAUUUUCUCCAAACAACUCAGCACCAAUCUUGUGUACUUGAUCCAAACCACUAAUUGAAAGAUCUUUUAACAACAACAACCUUCCAAUCGAUGGUAGAGAUUUGCAAUUUUUACAGUCGUGAAGCUCCAAUGACAACAUAUUCUUGAAGGAAGGAUCUGCAAUCCAAGUAGAGAAUUUUGCACCACCAUAAUUCUGAAUGACGAGUUGCUCAAGCUUUUUUGGAGGUCGAAGAGAGUCCAACACCCAUUCUUCAACUUCUUUAUUCCUUGAAGCCUUUUCAAACUUUUCACUCCAAUGCAAUACCAAUCGAUGAAUCCCCUGCUUCUCAUUUAACUUGGCUUCCCCUGCAUCUUCACCAUUAACAUUCUCCAACCCAGAAAGAUGGAAAUCACCUUCGAGGUUUGACAAAUAUUUCAAAUAUCUAAUAUGACAAUCAUCACCUUCCGCUAUGAUAAAAUCAGAUAACCUUUUGUUGGUGCAAAGAGGCAGCAACAGACUGUUUUGGUCUUGCUUGGAUAGCAAGCCUCGAGCCUUGCUGAAGAAACAAACUCAGAAAACAAUGCAGAAAAUGAAACUAGCUAGUGAAGAACAAAAAAUAGAGAAAGAUUGAAUGAAAGUGAGCUGAUAUUUUUCAUUAACAUUCAAACAAGGCUUUAAGCCAUUACAUAUAUUAGUCAACAAGUAAAACAAACAAGUAAUCACCUAAUCAAUUACCUAACACCACUAAUUUGCAUUGAAACGUACAAGAUUAGCUUGUACAACUUGCAUUGCUGAUUUUUCAAUCAAUCAAUACCAAAACAUUUACCUACUUAGUUCAACAUGAACUAAAUUACAAAAUAAUCAAAAAACAACCAAAAUCACCAAGUGGAUCGGCAACAUUAAGCUUCAGGCUUCAGACCAAGGCUCGAAUGCCUGCAACGUAUUCUUCUGCAUGGCCACCUUUGCAUGGGAAGCUGGUUGCAUGGAAACUAACUUUAACACUCCUCCUUAGUUUCUAUGCUGGUUACGCCUAGCUUCCCUUUUAAUUUCAUAAACCUUGACACAUUGAGUGCCUUGGUAAAAAUGUCUGCAAUUUGCUCCUCCGAAUUGCAAUGAACCAGCUCGAUUUUCUCCAGCUUGUUCCAUCUCCCUUAUAACAUGUAAUUUGAUAUUGAAGUGCUUGGUUCUGCCAUGGAAGAUGGGAUUCUUUGCAAUUGCAACAGCAGAUUUGUUGUCACAGUAAAUCUCUGUUGCUUCAUCUUGGUUUUGGUUUAAAUCAGCCAAGAUUUUUCUAAGCCAUAUGGCUUGAUUCACAGCAGAUGCAGCAGCAACAUAUUCAGCUUCUGCUGUUGAUUGUGCUACCAGACUUUGUUUCUUUGAACUCCAGCAAAACAUGCCUGAGCCAAGACUAAAUGAGUAUCCAGAUGUGCUUCUCAUGUCAUCACUCGAUCCAGCCCAAUCACUAUCGACAUAUCCUACUAACUUCAUGUUUUCAACCCUUUUGAACAUUACACCAUGAUUAGUGGUGCCUUUGAUGUAUCUUAGCACCCUUUUUGCUGCUUGAAAGUGCAGAUCUUUGCAGCAAUUCAUGUAUCUGGAAAGCACACUAACUGCAAACAUAAUGUCGGGCCUUGUUGCAGUCAAAUACAAUAGACUACCAAUGAGACUCUUGUACAUAGUCUCACAAACUGGUUCACCAGUUUCAUACCUUGAUAGCUUCAUUCCAACAGCCAUUGGUGUGCUUGUUGGCUUGCAAUUCUUCAUUGAGAACUUGUUUAAGACCUUCAUAGCAAAAGAACUCUGGCUGAGAAAGAUUCCAGUUGAAUUUUGUCUUACUUCCAUUCCUAGAAAGUAAUUCAUUUUGCAUAGAUCAGACAUCUCAAACAUUUUCAUCAUUUUCUUCUUGAAAUCAUGCAGCAUAUUUUUGUCUCCUCCAGUUACUAACAUAUCAUCAACAUAGAGUGACAAGAUAAGCUGAGUCUCAGCUUGAUUUUUCUUCACAUACAAAGUUGGUUCACUGGCACUUCUUUCGAAUUCCAAACUGAGCAAGUAGGAAUCGAUUCGAGCAUACCAGGCUCGAGGAGCUUGUUUCAGGCCAUACAAGGCCUUUUUUAACCUGUAGACCAUGUGUUCUUUACCAGUGACUACAAACCCUUGAGGCUGCUCGAUGUAGAUUUCUUCUUCCAGGAAACCAUUGAGAAAUGCAGACUUAACAUCAAGCUGAUGAAUGGUCCACUGAUUUUGAGCAGCCAAAGCAACUAUCAUUCUGACAGUGUCAAGUCUGGCUACUGGUGCAAAGGUCUCCAAGUAGUCCAAACCAUACCUUUGGCUAAAACCUUUGACAACAAGCCUAACUUUCAGCUUGUUAAGACUGCCAUCUGCAUUUUGUUUAGCUCGAUAGACCCACUUCACUCCAAUGGCCUUCUUUCCAGCAGGCUUAUCAACCAACUCCCAUGUUUGGUUCUUCUGUAUCAUGUUGAUUUCAUCAACCAUAGCCUGCUUCCAGCCUUCAUCAGACUCGGCCUCUUCAAAACUGGUUGGUUCUGCUAUAGCAAUCUGUGCUCUUUCAUAAAUUUCAUCCAAGGGCCUUGUUCCUCUCACAGGCACAUCAUCAACAUCCAUUUCAGGUCCUAGCUGCUCAAACUCAGCUUGAUUAGGCACCAGGUCUUCUGAAACUACUUCUGGUUCAUUUUUCUCCCAAUUCCAGCAGGCUUUUUCAUCAAAGAUGACAUCUCUACUCACCUGAACUUUGUUUGUCAAGGGAUCCAGAACCCUGUAGCCCUUCUUGAAUGAGUUAUAGCCUAUUAGAACACCUGGUUGAGCCCUUUCAGAGAGCUUGUCUCUCUUUGCUGCUGGUAUUUGUGCAUAGCACAGGCAACCAAACACCUUCAGGUGUGCCAAAGAAGGCUUGAAACCGAACCAAGCCUCGAAAGGUGUCUUGGAUGCAAGGACUUUGGUAGGGAGCCUAUUCUGAAGGUAAACAGCAGUGUUUACUGCCUCAGCCCACAUGGUCUUGGGCAGUUUCUUCUCAAACAGAAGACAUCUUGCCAUAUCCAUCAGACUUCUGUUCUUUCUUUCAGCUACCCCAUUCUGCUGAGGUGUGUAGACAUUUGUAAGCUGGUGUUUGAUACCAGCAUCAUUGCAAAUGGCUUGAAACUGAACUGAAGUGUACUCAGUGCCAUUGUCUGUCCUUAUUGAUUUCAGCUUGCAACCUGUUUCUGUCUCUUCAGCAGUUUUAAACUUCACAAACACUUGAGCUACCUCAGACUUGUGUUUCAGAAAGAAAAUCCAGCAAAACCUUGUAAAAUCAUCAAUGAAUAGGAUGAAAUACCUAUUAUUGCUGAGUGAUUCAGUCCUCAUAGGUCCACAUACAUCAGAGUGCACCAGCUGUAAUUUUUCAGUGGCUCUCCAUGCUGAGUUUGCUGGGAAUGGUAAUCUUGCCUGUUUUCCUAUCUGGCACACUUCACACACAUCAUCAUGCUCCACUGAAUUGGUGAAGUUCUCUGCCAGGCCUUCUUUGGCCAUUUGAGCCAUUGAUCUGAAGUUGGCAUGCCCGAGCCUUUGAUGCCAGAGCUUGGAAUCAUCUGUAGAGGCUGUGUAUGCUGACUUUGAGUCAUUUGACCAAUGGACCUCAAAGCAUUUAUCAAUCAUUGUGACUGUCAUAAGGCUUGAUCCACUUGGAUCAGCUAUGUGGCAGUGUUUAUCCUUGAACACAACAGAAUAGCCUUUCUCAAGCAGUUGAGCAAUGCUAAGGAGAUUUCUGUCAAUCUCAGGUACCAGCAGAACAUUUGAAAUGACUUUGUUGCCUGGAGGAGUACAUAUCAGCACUUCUCCUCUUCCUUCAGCUUUUAUAAACUGACCAUUUCCAACCUUAACCUUAGUUUUACAGCUUCUGUCCAAGGUUUUGAACAAAGAUGCAUCUGGUGACAUGUGGUUGGUGCAGCCACUGUCCAGUAGCCACCCUUUUGAGCAUUUCUUCUCAGCAGCUAAGUAAGAAACAGCAAAGACCUGCUCUUCUUGGUCAUUACUGUCCUCAGCUACUCGAGCUUCAACCUUUGGUUGUUGAAAUUGGCUCUGCCUUGGCUUGGUUUUGCUUUUGCAAACCCUCUCAACAUGGCCUUUCUUCUUGCAGUAUUGACAUACUGCAUCUGGCCUAAACCAGCAUCUAUCUUCUGGAUGUCCAGGUCUUUUACAAUAUCUGCAGGGCUGAUCAUUACUCCUUGCAGCAUCAGGCUUAGGCCUGCUUUUCCAAGGCUUUUUGCCUCUUGGAGCAUUGGUGCUCAAGGCCUCUCUUGUCUUGGCUUGAAAUGCACCUUCCUGGUGUUCUUCAGCUCUGCUAGCUCUCCUUUGUUCCUGAGCAUAGAAGGUGUUGAUAAGCUCAGUCAAAGAGAUGCUAGCAAGGUCUCUUGAGUCCUCUAAGGAGGAUAUCUUUGCCUCAUAUCUCUCAGGCAAAGUGGAGAGGACUUUCUCCACUAUUCUUGCCUCAUCAAAGUGCUCACCAAGGAGCCUUAUGUUGUUAACCACUGCCAUGAUUCUAUCUGCAUACUGCUUCACUGUUUCUUCUUCCCUCAUCUUCAGAUUCUCGAAAUCCCUUCUUAAAUUCAACAGCUGCUGUUGCCUUGUCCUUUCAGUGCCUUGAAACUCCUCCUUAAGCUUAUCCCAUGCCUGUUUUGGAGUCUCACAGGCCAUAAUUCUGGUGAAGAUGACAUCUGACACACAGUUUUGGAUGCAAGACAUGGCUUUGUGCCUUUUGGUCCUUUCAUCGGCAUGUUGCCUGAUCUGAGCUACUGUGGGAUUGGCCCUCAGUGGUGCUGGCUCAGCAUCUGUGUUGACAACUUCCCACAGAUCAAAGGCCUGCAGGUAAGUCUUCAUCUUUACCAGCCAUAUGUGGAAGCCUUCCCCAUUGAAGACUGGUGGGGCUGCUGGUGAAAAUCCUGAAGAAGCCAUCAGGUUCCUUGAUUUGAAGCAACGGGUCCACUAAGACAAAAGCUCUAGAUACCAAUUGUUGGUGCAAAGAGGUAGCAACAGACUGUUUUGGUCUUGCUUGGAUAGCAAGCCUCGAGCCUUGCUGAAGAAACAAACUCAGAAAACAAUGCAGAAAAUGAAACUAGCUAGUGAAGAACAAAAAAUAGAGAAAGAUUGAAUGAAAGUGAGCUGAUAUUUUUCAUUAACAUUCAAACAAGGCUUUAAGCCAUUACAUAUAUUAGUCAACAAGUAAAACAAACAAGUAAUCACCUAAUCAAUUACCUAACACCACUAAUUUGCAUUGAAACUUACAAGAUUAGCUUGUACAACUUGCAUUGCUGAUUUUUCAAUCAAUCAAUACCAAAACAUUUACCUACUUAGUUCAACAUGAACUAAAUUACAAAAUAAUCAAAAAACAACCAAAAUCACCAAGUGGAUCGGCAACAUUAAGCUUCAGUUCCUGCAGACCAAGGCUCGAAUGCCUGCAACGUAUUCUUCUGCAUGGCCACCUUUGCAUGGGAAGCUGGUUGCAUGGAAACUAACUUUAACACCUUUGAAGAUUUGUUAGCUUAUCAAUUCUAAAAGGAAUCCUUUCUAUUGAGUUCGCACCUCUGAUAUCAAGAUAAUGCAAGUUGACAAGAUUUUCCAUCUUUGAAGGUAACCUUUGAAGCUGCCGACACCGUCUCAAUAAUAAAGUUUCCAAAUGAUAAAGAGUGCACAAAGAAUCAGGUAGGCAUUCGAUAAGGGUGUUGGAAAAAUUUAAGUAGCGAAGAUGUUUUGAAUUUUCAAAAACAUCAGGCAACUCAGUGAUCCAAUACCCACUCAAAGAAAGCAUCCUUAAGUAGCCAAGUCUUGGUAACAAAUCAACCAAAACAAAAUUAGUUAAAAAAGGCAGCGGAUAAUCACUAGCAAACUUGAAGGGUAAAAAAGUACGUAAAGAAUUCACUUGAUCAAAUGCUUCAAACUUCUUCGCUGUGUCAUAUGUUCCAACAAUAUAAGAAGAAUGUCGAGUGCGAUUUGAGAACUUCCAUUUCUUAUCACCCUCUAAUUUUGAGCAUAUUUCCCCUGCAACUACUUGAGCUAAAUCAUUGAUAAGGUCAUGCAUUACGAAUCGGGACUUAUCUUUACUGGAUGUCAGAAAAAAUGACCUCGACACUAGAUCUUGAAAAUAUUGAUUUCCGAGAUCUUUAAUUUGAGGCAUAGCUUUUUGUUGCAAGAGACCUUCUGCUCUCCACAACAAGAUAAUUUCUUCUUCCUCAAAUGCAUAUUCUUUAGGAAGUAUGGAGCAAUAUGCAAAACAUCGUUUCAAGUAUGACGGAAGAUGAUGGUAGCUUAAUCGCAAAGCUGGAAUUAUGCCACACUGCUCUUCUGGUAAGUUCCAUAUCUCACUCUCAUAUAUUCUUUCCCAUUUUCCAGGAUACGUAACAGUGCGAAGCAAGCUUCCAAUGGCCUUUGCAGCCAAAGGUAAGCCAUUGCACCUUCUAACAAUUUUCUCUCCAAUUUCUUUAAACUGGAGAUAUCCAUCGAAAUUUCUUGCUUUUAAUGCAUGCUGUGCAAAUAUGGAUAAACAAUCAUCUUCCGGUAGUUUAUCCAAAUGAAAAGCUUUGAGCGGAUCCACAAUAGAUGAAACAAUUUGAAGACGAGUGGUUACAAUGAUAUGGGUCCCUGCUCCAAACGGAGACCGUAAGAUGGUCCAAUCAUUAUAAUUCUCGUUCCAAAUGUCAUCUAAAACAAGCAAGAAUCUUUUCCCAAACAACUUCUCCUUCAACUUAACUUGAAGUAAAUCCAAGUUACUGUAAUCACAUGACUCAGAAGUGAUGGACUGUAAAAUUGCCUUUGUUAUAGCAAUUGCAUCAAAAUUAUCAGAAACGCAUACCCAGGCCUUGUGGUGAAAACACUGGUUGAUGGUGGCAUCAUUGUAAACAAGCUGAGCAAGAGUUGUUUUACCCAUCCCUCCCAUGCCCACGAUGGAAAGGACUGAAACUCCAUUGGAGUUAUCACCUUUGAGAAACUCAAUCAUUUCUGUCUUCUCCUUGUGUCUGCCAACAUACUCCACAACUCCAUCCAGUACGGAAGUUGAUUGCAGCCUAGGUUGCUUUCCCUUGGAGGUUGGAGCUUGAGACAAGAUCUCACUCAACCCCAAACUACUUCUUCGAGUAGUCAAACUAUUCAGUCUAGCAGUGAUCUCUUUCACCUUCGGAAUCAUGGAAUUCUUAAACAGGAAAAAAGUGGGAGUGAAAUUACUACUGGUACAGCAGGUAGGAAUGAGUUUCCGUACCUUGCUAGUGCUGGCUUCAGCUUGCGAUUUCUUGAGCUUGAGACGUAACUCUUCAUAAGCGAACUCAUCCAAGAUGUCAUCCACAUCGUAUGCCAAGUCCUGGAGAUCCUCCAACCAUUUCUUCACGCCCUCGUUCUUGAUCUGCUUCUCCUCUGCAUCGUCCAACACUGCUUGGAUAUCGGGCAAUAUGGACUGCCACUGCUUGAGCUGUGGGCGGAGUUGCUUAUGAUCAGCAACGAAGUUGAGCGCAGAGUCGAGCAACUUGCCCCCCAACAGCUCCAGAAACACAGACAGAGCAGCCUCUCCAAUGACAGACAUGGUGAAAUUGUGAGAAGGAAGCAGAAGAGAGAAAUGAAGAAGCCAAAUGGAAGUUCAGGAACGGAGUGGAGAUUGUGUAUAAUCAGUGAAAGUUGAAAAAAUCAGAGGAGGAGGCAGUGAGCUGAUAGUCUGAUAAAUAAAAUAAAGCCCAAUUGGCUUUUUGGGCAGUGAAACGAAUAAAGAAGGCGGAAAAGACAAUGGCUGAGCCACCCACCCACAUUGUUUAUGAAUUUUGAUGCUUUUCUCUUGCUUUUCUCCAUUAUCCCAAUUUCCAAGUAAAUGAAUGUUCAGUUCCAUGGCAAUGGCAUCCAAUGCCCAUAUUUGUACUUUAAUUAACAGCCAAUAUAGCAAGCACAUGUCAGUCUUUGUUUUUGGGAAUGAAAAAAAAAAUUCAUCCCAUUUUUUUUAAAAUUUCCAAAAUUUCAUCCCUUUUUAAUUGAAUAUUUUCUUUUAUUUUGUUGGUGAAUUUUUUUAUUAGAAUUUAAAUAUAUCUUUUAAUGUUACAUUAUAAUAUUAUAUAUUUAAUUUUAUUUUAUAUAAAUUACAUUCUAUACAUAUAUGAUAAAGUAGAAAAUGAGUUGGACUUAGCCAUUUUAAUUUUAGAGUCCAAGCAUGGCUCAUUUUAAACAAGUUUAAUUUUUUUUGUCUAAACUUAUAUUUCAAGCCUCAUUCUUUUUAUCUAAACCCUUUUAUAUUUUAAGCUCAUUUAGAACGAGUCUAUCUACAAAAGAAAAGCUUGUGAAAAGCGCAUAAUUAAUAAUUAGAAAUUGUCACGCAUGUAAAAAUAUAAUAUAUUAUAUAUAAAUUUAAAUUUUAAAAAUAAUAUUUCGUAUAUAAAUUUUAUAUUUUUGAGAAAUAAUAAUAUUUUAAAAAAGAUGGAUAAAUUUUUUUCCUAAUAAUUAGAAAUUAGUGAAUAAUAAUGAGUAGUUUAGUUUUUGAAGGAAAAAGAAAGAAAUAGUUUUAAUUGAGAAAAUGAUUUUUUAAGAAGUUAGUUUAAGAGUAGUGAAAUAAUUUAUUUUAUUUUAUAAAAUGUUGAAAUGAUAUAAUCAUCUCUAUAUUUAACAAAAUAAUAACAUUAGUUUUUUCAUGCUUUUACCAAUUGAGUUUGUGUUGCUCGAUUUGAUGUACCAAAUUUAAUAAGACAUUUUAUCAUAGUAUAAAUAAUUAUCUUGUAAUUAUAUGUAUUCAAAUGAACUUAAUUUUUAAAUCCGUCACCAAUCUUUAUAUUUUUUCUCUCUUAUAAUUAUAUUUUUACAUAAUGUUUUUAUAAUAUAUGAUAUGAUCAUAAAUUAAACCCUUAAUUAUAGUUAUUAAGCUUUCAUUUUUUCCACUAAAGUCAAUAAAUUAAUUUUUUAUUGGGAAACAUUUUUAUAUUAGUUAAUCAUGAGAAAACAUUUUUAUGUGAAAGUGUGUUUAACUAAUUAUAUUAUAGAAAAGUAUAUUUGAUAAUAGGCUCAAUUUACAUGUUUAUUGUGCUUAAAUUUGACAAAUUCUUUAAUGAGAUAUCAUUAAUUUUAGGUUUAUUAUUUGAUUUUUGAUUAGGUGAAAAAGGCAAACUUAAAAAGUAAAAAAGAGUCGGAAAUGCAAGUUGUCGCAAAAGUUUUAGGCCAUGAUCUAUCUUUUUCUUCCUUUUGGUAUAAUAACGUGACUCAAACUCAAACUACACAUACGAUAGCAAUUCAAUUGCUUUCUUUUCUUCUCUAUUUCUAAUUCUGUUCUUUCUUUCUCUUGCACAAUAUUGUGCCGCCACGCCACCCUCCCCUUUUUUUUCCUUUCUUUUAUUUGUUUAUUUCUUUUAUUUAAUAUUUGUUGAACCCUUUAAACUAGUAUGCUUAAUUUCAUGAGUAAUUAAACUUCCCAUCUAGCUUUUAAGUCAAGAGUCAAUUUGGGAGAGAGUUGUACUAUUCGAAAUCGUACUUUAAAACUUUUAUUUCAGUAUUUGUUAUUUCUCUGAUUUAGGAGAUACAUAUUAUCGUCUCAUAAAGUUGUUUUGGCACCAAAUGAGUUCAUUGCUUUGGUUUAAUAAAGAAUCAAUACUAUUGAUUAUCGUAUUCGAUCUACCGAAAAAUAAUUUGGCGUGUCCAAUUAAGUGGUUGAUGUAAAUAGUACUUAAACAAAUAACUAGAUGGAUGGUGAGGAUGAGUAAAAACUUUUAAUAUCAUCCAUAUCUUUUAUAGGUGGUGUAGUACUCUGUAAUAUACACUUAAUGGUUUGUCCUAUAUGAGUGUGUAGGCGGGCCGCUUCUAUGAGAUCUUUGGCAAUUUUUAGAGCACUCAUAAAAACCAGGCACGCGCAUAACCUAUUAGCGCUCUAUAGUAAAUCAUGUCUCAUUUGUUAAAAAUUCUGGUUCACAGUCCAAAUGACAAUAUGAUUAUUGCAAUAUAUUGAAACACUCACUUAAAAUUAUAACUUAAAUCUUUGAAAUAUGUGGGAGAUUAUUGGAAGUUUUCAUGUAUUUCAAAGAACUACAAAAAUCUCACAUUGCUAAAAAAAGAUCUUGAGUCAUUAUUUAUAAGUCAUUAUACUUCUUUGAACUUAAUAAGUACCAAAUUGAGAGUAUAGACUCGUGCACAUUUGAGCCUUUUUGUUUUUGGACUUAUUUUUUAUUGAAGUUUUGAAAGUCAAAGAAAAGUGAACUUGUAACACUUAUAUUUAGUCACGCUAAAUAUAAUUUAAUCGAUUGAAGCUAUUUUUAAUUAAGUCCAAAUUCAUUGAACCUUUUUCAAACUAGUUUUAGCUAAUUCAAUCAACCUACCUUUGCUAUAUUAAGCCAAUCAAAUCCCUAUAAAUACCAUGCAUGGUAGUUUUAAAAGUUACCCAUUAGCUUUCAAGUUCUCAUCUAAAUUUCUUCUGUAUUCUCUUUAGAAAAACCUUCCUCCUACAAUCUCAAUUGAGUGUUUAAUUGGUCGGCUCUUUAGAAAAGCCUUCAAGGAUAAUGAUAUUCACGCCCCAAGUCGUGAUUCUAAUUUUCUAAACCUCCGAUUUCUUAAGAGAAAGUCAAGGGCAACAACCAGUCAAAUUUUAAGUUCAAUUAAAUGAAUUCACAAACUUAUAGAGUUUAUUGUUAUUAUUUUAAUUAGUAUCAAAAGUUUUCAAUUCAAGCUUGAAUUAUAAUCGAGCUUGAAUUAUAAGUCAAAUUUUAAUUUUGUUAUUCAAGCUUUAUCUCAAAUCAAGCUCAAGCUUUAAAAGUGAAAUUUGAUUGAGCUUGAGCUAAAUUUUGAGUAUCGAAUUUUAAGUUAACUCAAAAUUUUCAAGUUAAGCUUUGACUUGAUUACACGGUUAGUGUAAAUCGUACAAAUGUAAAGUAUAAUAUAAUUAUAUAAAUUUUGAUACUAUAAUAAUUUCAAUUUUAAAAUUUUAACACAACUAUGGUCUAAAAUGCUCCGUUAUCAAGAAGCUUAGAAAUUAGAAGAUGCAGAGGAAAACAGAGCAUUCAAUUUGCUAAAUAAAUGUUGCAGAGAAUUAAGCUAUAGCAAAUCAGUUGAAUAUAUACACGUUAGAGGUGCUCAUGGGCCGGGCCGGGCCCAUAAAAAAUUUCAGCCCGGAUCCUAGGCCCGGGCCCGGCCCGAAAUAUGGGCCUAAGAUUUUGCCUAGGCCCGGCCCGGGAAAAAAAUCAUAAGCCCGGGCCCGGCCCGGCCCAUUUUUAUUUUAAAAAUUUUAAAAAAUUAAAAAAAGUAUUUUAAAAUAUUUUUAAAAUAUUUUAAAAUUAAAAAAAUUAAAAAAUUAUUUUAAAAUUAUUUUAAAAUUAGUAAAAAUUAAAAAAAGUAUUUUAAAAAUAUUUUAAAAUUUAAAAAAAAUUAAAAAAGUAUGUAAAAAAUAUUUUAAAAUUAAAAAAAUAAAUAUAUUUAAUAUAUCGGGCCGGGCCGGGCCCGGGCCGAAAAAGUGGUGCCCGAGGCCCGGCCCGUUUUCUAAACGGGCCUCGUUUUUUUGCCCAAGCCCAUAUUUCGGGCCUAUAUUUUUACCCAAACCCUCCCAUAUUACGGCCCGCCCGGCCCAUGAGCACCUGUAAUACACGUACAUAUUUUUAUAAUUUAUUUAUAUAAAUAUAUACAUACUUAUAUAUUUUUUUAUAUUUUAUAAUUUUCAUAUACAUACAUACAUACAUACAUACAUACAUACAUACAUACAUACAUACAUACAUACAUAUCUUUUAGCAUUUUUUAUAAUUUUAUUCAUUUUCUUUAUUGUUAUUAUUAUUUAUUUAUUUAUUUAUUUACGUGUUCGUUAUUAUUUUAAAGGAACGUUUUAGUUCUAUUCGUUUAUUUACUUGUUAUUGUAUAUAUAAUUGAUUCAUCUUUUAUUUAUUUAUUUAUUUAUUUUUUGCUCGUAGUAUUUUUACUUGCAUUAUCAUAAUUGUUAUUACAUCACAUAUAAUUUUUUAUCCAAAUUCAAAAAGAAAAUUGUAAAUUAAGGCAACAUUUCACGUUUGGAAAUUCGAGAAAACGUGUUCGAACGUGCUGGAUUUCGAUUUCUCGUUUAACCAAAUAGCCAAAUAUCCUUGUAAAAUUUCAAAGUAUGGGUUUUGGAAACCAUAAGGUGAUCUUGGUUUCGAGGGUUUAAAGUAUCGUAUCCUAACGUGCUGGAUGUGAUAUUCUUUCGGAACAAGAGAAUCCUAAAUUUCAGCCCAUAUUAUUCGAAAAUUUUUAGGAUUGUAUUUUUAAAACUUUCAAAGUUUUCAAUCUUCGACACUAAGACACUAAUUAAUCAACUAGGUACCAAUUUUGGGCGUUGCGAGGGUGCUAAUCCCUCCUUGUACGUAACUGGCUCCCGAACUUGUUUUUUCUGAAUUUCGCAGACCAAAAGCAUUGUUUUAAUCAAUCCAAACUGUUUAUUAAAAACAAACGUUUUACUAGGUGACCCGAUCACACCUCAUCAAAAAAGAUUUGUGGUGACUCCUAUAUUCGUUUUCAUUUUCAAAAUCCAAGUCGACUCCGUCUUGUCAAAAAAAAUGGUGUCAACAAUUAGGUGCAAAAACAAACUUAGAAAGUAAAAAGGAGUUGAAAAUGCAAGUCGUUGUAAAAGUUUUGGGCCAUGAGCUUUUUUUUUUGGGUACAAUAACAUGACAAAACCCGAACAACAAACAUGACUAAUGUGACUCAAACCCAAAACACCUGGGACACUGAAUACCCUUGACCAUUAGGCCAUCAUAUAGGGUUCGAAAAAGAAAGAGAGUACUUUUAAUUUUUUAUUAGGAUAAUAUUUUAAUUUUCUAGUAUUUUAUUUUUUGAUAUAUUUUUAGAUAACAAUCUAAUAUUGGAUUAGAUUAAAGAAUUUAAGUAGGAUUAGGUAUAUUCUAAAAGGGACAGCAAUUCAAUUGCUUUCUUUUCUUCUCUGUUUCUAAUUCUGUUCUUUCUUUCUCUUGCACAAUAUUGUGCCGCCACGCCACCCUCCCUUUUUUUUUCCUUUCUUUUAUUUGUUUAUUUGUUGAACCCUUUAAACUAGUAUGCUUAAUUUCAUGAGUAAUUAAACUUCCCAUCUAGCUUUUAAGUCAAGAGUCAAUUUGGGAGAGAGUCGUACCAUUCGAAAUUGUACUUCAAAACCUUUAUUUCAGUAUUUGUUAUUUCUCUGGUUUAGGAGACCGUCUCAUAAAGUUUUUUUGGCACCAAAUGAGUUAAUUGCUUUGGUUUUAAUAAAGAAUUAAUACUAUCGAUUAUCAUAUUCAAUCUACCAAAAAACACAUUGGCGUGUCCAAUUAAGUGGUUGAUAUAAAUAGUACUUAAACAAAUAACUACAUGGAUGGUGAGGAUGAGUAAAAACUUUUAAUAUCAUCCAUAUCUUUUAUAGGUGGUGUAUUGCUCUGUAGUAUACACUUAAUGGGUUGGCCUGUAUGAGUGUGUAGUGGGGCCGCUUCUAUGAGAUCUUUGGUAAUCUUUAGAGUACUCAUAAAAACUAGACACGCGCAUGACCUAUUAGCACACAAUCGCAUUGAAGAAUGAAUCAUAAAUAUAAUGUGGUAAGUGAGAAAGUUAAUUUGGAAAUUAAAUAAUUAGUUCAAAAACUUAUUUCAUCAAUUAUUUAAGUAAAUCAUAUCUCAUUUGUUAAAAAUUUUGGUUCACAGUCCAAAUGACAAUAUGAUUAUUGCAGUAUAUUGAAACUCUCACUUAAAAUUAUAACUGAAAUCUUUGAAAUAUGUGGGAGAUUAUUGGAAGUUUUCAUGUAUUUCAAAGAACUGCAAAAAUCUCACAUUGCUAAAAAAAGAUCUUGUGUCAUUAUUUAUAAGUCAUUAUACUUCUCUGAACUUAAUAAGAACCAAAUUGAGAGAGUAGACUCGUCUACAUUCAAGCCUUUUUGUUUUUGGACUUAUAUUUUAUUGAAGUUUUGAGAGUCAAAGAAAAGCGAACUUGUAACACCUAUAUUUAGUCACGCUAAAUAUAAUUUAAUCGAUUGAAGCUAUAUUUAAUUAAGUCCAAAUUCAUUGAACCAUUUUCAAACUAGUUUUAGCUAAUUCAAUCAACUUACCUUUGCUAUAUUAAGCCAAUGAAAUCCCUAUAAGUACCAUGCAUGGCAGUUUUCAAAGUUCCUCAUUAGCUUUCACAUUCUCAUCUAAAUUUCUUCUGUAUUCUCUUCAGAAAAACCUUUCUCCUACAAUCUCAAUUGAGUGUUUUCAUUGGUCGGCUCUUUAGAAAAGCCUUCAAGGAUAAUGAUAUUCACGCCUCAAGGCAUGAUUCUAAGUUUCUAAACCUCCGAUUUCUUAAGAGAACGUCAAGGGCAACAACCAAUCAAAUUUUAAGUUCAAUUAAAUGAAUUCACAAACUUAUAGAGCUUAUUAUUAUUAUUUUAAUUAGUAUCAAAAGUUUUUAAUUCAAGCUUGAAUUAUAUGUCAAAUUUUAAUUUUGUUAUUCAAGAUUUAUCUCAAAUCAAGCUCAAGCUUUAAAAGUGAAAUUUGAUUGAGCUUGAGCUAAAUUUUGAGUAUCGAAUUUUAAGUUAGCUCAAAAUUUUCAAGUUAAGCUUUGACUUGAUUACACGGUUAGUGUAAAUCAUACAAAUGUAAAGUAUAAUAUAAUUAUAUAAAUUUUGAUACUAUAAUAAUUUCAAUUUUAAAAUUUUAACACAACUAUGGUCUAAAAUGUCCCGUUAUCAAGAAGCUUAGAAAUUAGAAGACGCAGAUGAAAACAGAGCAUUCAAUUUGCUAAAUAAAUGUUGCAGAGAAUUAAGCUAUAGCAAAUCAGUUGAAUAUAGCUUUCAGUGCCUGCAAAAUUAAAUACAAAAUAUAUACAAAAUGUUACUUUUUAGUUGAUGUUUUGUUGCUUAGUUAAAUUAGAACUAAGUUAGUAACAUACUUGAUAGAUUUGAUAAAUCAGCUUAACCAAGUGUGGAAGCAAAGUUUUUUAAGUUUCAAGACUUUGUUAGUGGAGGUAAUAUUUUCAUCUUUUGACAAGCUGAUUGCUUGAUAUAUGUAAUGGUUUUAGUUCUCAAUGAAUGAUGAUGAAUCUUUCAGCAAAUUCUUCUCCUUCUUUUGGUUUUUUAUCAAGCAUUCUGUUUAUAUAGCUUAAGCUUAGCUCCUUUGUUUGUUCAGCAAGAUAUCGAAGCUUAGUUUCAGCUAAAAUUUCUUAUUCUGUUUUCUAUGUUCCUACACAACUACAACCGUAUCAUAAUAUUUCAGCUAAUCUAUGCCUUGCACGAAAUCUUAAAAAACCUCCAAUGGCAGUCAAGGAAGAGUCCAACAUGGGAAGUUAAUAGAAUCUUCAGCUAAUCAUCAUUUUAUUCCAAAAGAAGUAACCUUUCACUUUCAGCAAUCAAUUAAUAAGCAUUUGCAUAUCAAAUUUAUAUUUUUAUUCUAUUAAAUAUUUUUUAAAAAGAAUUUCCAUGUCAUGCCUAUCUAUAUCGUGUUGUACUUGUAUUGUGUCUGAGCUUUUUUUUGGCCCUGUUUUUGAAGAAUCAUGUUGGUGCUUCCUAAUCUUUUAAGUAAUGGGUGGAGACAGAAAAAUAUAAGUGGAGUAGUAAAUUGGAAGAAGCCAUGUUAGCCGGACCAGUUUUUUUUUUUUUCUUUAUUCACUCAUAUUUUAACAUUUUGAAAAUAUUUCUUUAAUGGCUUGGAUUAUAUGGAAUUCAUUUUACAAGUAGUUGAGCUUUUUUUAAUGGGAAGCAACCAUGGUGGUUGGUUCCGCACCAUGGUUUCAGCUGUACCUGCCAGUGUCACUGUUCCAGUGAUACAGCACAACAAUAAGGAAUACCUCUUUUCCACAUCGGUGAAAAUUUCAGACUGUUCUGUUUACAUUGGCUCAUUUAAAACAAUUCAAGUUGCACCGGCCGAAACAUGAUGCAUCGGCUGUUACAUGAAUAAUUUAAAAAAUAUAAUUUUUUUAAUACCUAGCAAUAAUAAUUAACUAGAGACCAACAUUUGUUUUUUCAAUCUCGAAAUGUCAAAAACAAUACUAUAUACAAAACAUCCUUUUGUCAACUUAUAUUAAAAGCAUUAGAAAAAGAACUUACCACUCCAUUCCUUUGUCAACAUCUGUCGACCAACGAAGUUGUGCUGUUUGUUGUGCGUAUAAGCAGGUAUUCUCCUCUUUGGAUACCCACCAUUCAAGAUUUAUCACCCAAAGGUACGUACACCUCCCCAGUGGUACCAUUUUGCCUUUUAUCUGCCACCAAUUUCAUGGUUCCCAAAGCUGAAUGAAAGGACGAGGCUAAAUAAAUAACAUAUUUGACUCCUCAACCACAACUAUGCACCAAGCACCAAAAUAUGCUCCAACACAGGAAAGGAAUCGAUCUACUCCCUAUACUGCCAUUUUUUUAUCAUUUCACAAAAUAAAUAGCGAAAUGUCAAAUAUUUGAAGUAAUGGGUGGAGAUAUAGAAAAAUUGAAAUGGAGUCUUAACUUGGAAGAGGCCAUGUUGGCUGGACCUGUUUUUUUUUUUUUUUCUCCACUCAUAUUUUAACAUUUUACAAAUAUUUCUUUAAUGGCUUAGAUUAUAUGAAAUUUAUUUUACAAAGAGAUGAAUUUUUUUAAUGAGAAGCAACCAUGGUGAUCUGUUCCGCACCAUGGUUUCAGUCGUACCGAUCGGUGCCACCAUUUUAGUGCUAUAGCGCAUCCAGCAACACCCUCUUCCGUAUCGGUGAAAAAUUCAAUCUGUACCAUUCACAUUGGUUCGUUUCAGUCAAUUUCAACCACACUGAUUGAGACAUGGUGCACCAGCUGCUAUAUGAAUAAUAUUAAAAAAUGUAAAACUUUUAACUAAUUUUUAUUAGACUAAUGACUUAAUUUGAAUGUAUUGACCAAUAAAAAAUAUUACACUAAAAAGUAAAGUUUAACAUUUAAAUUUUGUUCUGGAACAUAUUUUUACAUUAAAAAUUUAAAAAUUAAAAUAUAAUAAAAAAAAUCCACUCACUUCAUUAUCAUAGAAAAAUCUUCGCCCAUCCUUCAACUUCUUUUAUUGAAAAAAAUCCCUUCUUUUUUCUUGUUAUUUUUUAAUUUAUUAAAUGAUGAGUUUUUUAUUUGUAGAGUUUAUUAAUCAAUAUUUUAUAUAAUUUAUGAAUAUUUUACAUUUGAAAUUUAUUCAGUAUCAUUUAUUUGGUAUUUGUUUAUUUAUUUAUAUAGAUAUAAAAUAUCGAUAAAUUCAAAACGAUAUAUCGAAAUAAACUGAUACCUGUUUAUACCAAUUCCGGUAGAAAAGUGGCGCAUCUACCAGUGUGGUGCAGACUACCUUGAAAGCAAUUAUGUGGCAGACUUGUUUGAAAGAAAAUGAGUAAAAGCGUGUUGAAAUAUUAUUUCGUGUGGCUGUAAUAUUUGAUGCUUUGUUUUCUUUUGAGUAUUUUGGUUUGAUGCUUUUGAUUUGUGUUGAUAUUUGAGUGUAAUCAUUGAGAUGUAUAUGGCUAUCUCAUUUUUUUUUAUGAUUUGUUUUGUAUUUACUGUAGUUGUUUUAUUAAUAAAAUUAUGUUUUGGAUUCAUAAAAAAAAAUUAAGAAAUUCAAAACACAAAAACGAAAGUAGAGAAAGUGAACACAAUGAUUUACGUGGUUCGGAAUAUUUCCUACAUCCACGGGCAAAACCAAAAAUGAAAUUCACUACUAAAAAAUGAAGAUUACAAUAGAAUUACAUAAUAAAAUAAAAUAACUCACCACAAUAACUAUCCACAAACUUUGAGCAAUCUUCUAAAUAAGCAUCAACUAUAAACUUUCCACAAACUGAAAAAUACCUGGCAAUAAUAAAUAACAAGUGGCCAACAAUCUCAAAAUGUCAAAAACAAUAAUUUAUUUAAAACAUCCUAACCUUUUAUCAAUCAUCAAUGGAGACCUAAGAUAGGUUGAUGAUUUGCGUAGAUAGAAAUAGAUGAUGCUAAAAGCAUUACAAAAAAAAAAAAAAACUUACCACUCCAUUCCUUUUGUCAACAUCUGUCGACCAACGAAGUUGUGCUGUUGUUGUGCCCAUAAGCAGGUAUUGCCCUCUUUGGAUGCCCACCAUUCCAGGGUUUAUCACCCAAAGGUAUGUACACCUCCUCAGUGGUACCUUUUGGCCUUUUAUCUGCCACCAAUUUCAUGGUUCCCAAAGCUGAAUGAAAGUAUAAGGCUAAAUAAGUAGCAUAUUUGGCUCCUCAACUACAACUUUGUACCAAGCACCAAAAUAUGAUCCAGCACAUAUUCUCCAUAUAACCUAUACUUGCCCUAUCAUAAACAUUGAUAACAUCACAGUUGAAGCCUUUCAAAGCAGGGGAAAUUCAUAUAAAGAUUGGUAGAAAAUAUGCCAAUCUACCGGACCGGAAAGCUGAAAAGCAACAUUAAAAGAGAGCUGCAAUAAAACUAGUUCCAAACUGCUGCAGUAUAUAUAUCAUUUGAUUCAUUUAACUCAUACCUCAAAGUCAAAAGCAAGAGAGUCGAUAUAUAGUGAGUCACUUAGUCACUGCUAUUUUUGGGAACACUGAGGCUGGAAGUGAAAACCCCAAAUUGCAGCUCAGUGAACUCUGUUGUGUUUAUGUUAAAUUGAGCUCUUUAAUGCCAUGUUGUAACGUGUACCGCAUCCCUCCAUUCAUCCUGCAAGGAUCAAUACCAUGUCUACAGUGAUGACGAAAUCUGUUGGCACUGAUAUCCUUAUGCAAUAACAGAAAUCUAUCUACAAAGAUCAACAAACUAUCACGUAAAAGACUUGUUCUUCUGAAACACCAUUGGUUAAUAGUACAACGAAAUCUCAAAUACUUUUAACUAAAAUCCCAUUCCCAUAUCCCAAUUUCAUAGCAACUGCUUAGAAAUUAGAAGAUGCAGAUGAAAACAGAACAUUCAAUUUGCUGAAUAAAUGAUGCAGAGAAUUGACUAACCGCUUUACAACAUCAAAUAAGCUGAAGCAAACCAGUUGAAGGUCUCCUCUAUUUUUCGCCAGUUUAGCCUUCAAUGCCUGCAAAAAAGUAAAUACAAAAUAUAUAACACCGAUUUCUAUUAUCGUGUUGUUCAUGAGGACAAUCAGAUAUAUAUAAAGAAAAGGUAUGAAAUUGAUAAAUGUUUAAAAUGCGUUUCGCACCUGUGGUUUGAGUGUGGAGAAAUCGAUGCUAGAUUUUGCUGCUUAAAUUUCAAUGUAAUUCCCUCGGGUUGACUAUUUCACCAUCAAUUUGAGCAAAAGGUAUGUGGGCAAUCUUGGACCACUCUCGUCCUUUACCCCUACUGCACCCUUUUUCUAGCAACGGGCAAUCAUGAAUUGAUAGACGCUCAAGCGAGAGAAGCAUAUCUUUUUCCGGAAGAGAUUUGAGCUUAGGACAAUCAUCGACUCGCAAUUUUUGAAGAGAGGUCAGGUAUUGAAAGCCCUUGGAGCACAUGAAUUCCAAAUUCUCAAAAUUGUCAAUGGAAAUAGAUGUGAGAGAAGGAGGCAGCGUCAUUCCUAUCCCUUCUUCUGGAAACGACACCACAUUUGAGCAUCCUUCACCGUUGAUUUUGAGUUUCUGAAGAGAGGUGAGUCUGUUAAAUCCCCAUUGAACAAGUGAUGUAUAAAUUUUGGGUGCGUUUGAGAUUGCAAGUGAUGUGAGGUUGGCAGGGAAACCCUCUUCUGGAAAGAAGUCAACCGAACAAUAAGACACCUUUAAUUCUCGAAGGGAGGUGAAGUUGUUGAUCCACUUGGGAAGGACUCCAAAAUUUUCACAAUCCUCAAUUGCGAAAACUCUGAGAUUUGUGGUGGGCAACCCACUUUCUUCAAAUGAAACCAGAUUUGGACACCAACAUAAUUGAAUCUCCUGAAGAUGGCUGAGCUUGUCCAAUCCCCGCGAUAAUGAUUUAAUUUUUCCAGCACCAUUAAUACGAAUGAUUUCGAGAUCAGUGGUUUCAAGGAAGUCUUGGGCUAUGCAUUCCAACACUGGACAAUCCCAAAUUAAUAGCUGUUUAAGCAUUACGGGUAACUUGGCGUUUAAAAAUAACCUACUUAGCUUUGAACAACGGUAAAUAUUAAGACGUUGAAGCCGAUUGCAUAUAUCGCCCCUUGAUGAUAACCAUAUUAGAGAUGGACAGCACCUUAUUUCCAAACGCUCAAGAAGACAAGUGUUGCUACUCAUACUCUUAUUAUUAUUUUCUUUUUCAUCAACCAAAUAUUGCAAAUUCCUGCAAUUCCGAAUCCACAGCUCUUUUAAAGCAGGCGGAAAGUUACUCUCUGCAAAACAAACCAAGCCUGGACAUUUUUGAAGUUGCAUUCUUGUAAUCAAUGGGAAAGCAUGUAAGGCUUCUGGUAGUCUGAGCCUUUCACAAUUAUAUAUUAGAAGAGAUUCAACACCUGGAAUCUUGUCAAGUUGCAAUCUCUCCUCUGUUUCCAAACAGACCAAUUGGGGACAACCCGCAAUCGUAAUAAAACGAUGCCCGACUAAUCUUAACCCAAUUUGCGAUAAAGAUCCCAGCUCCUUCCAACCAGAUAUCUUGAAUGUUUCGGAGUUUGCAAAUCUCAACAUUAUCCUCUCUGCUGAAAUAUUAAAAUUUGAAAUAUUUGAAACAAACACAUCUUUCAAGGAGGUAACCUUCUGUACAGACAAAGAACCUUCAUCCACCAAUUCUUCACACCCUUCAACCCAUAUUUUACGCAGCAAGGGAAAACAAGAAAUUGAAACUACCAGUCUCUUACACUCAUAGAUUUCAAGUGUCUGCAAGGAUUGAAGGAUGGUUGGCAACCUUCCCAACAAUAGAGGACAUCUUUUAAUUGAAAGCUUACGAAGGCUGGGAAAUUUCGAAACUUGCUCAUCGUCUUCACAUAGGUUCCACUCCUCCCAAUUCAGCAUAUUGUCAAAACACAGAGACUCUAGUGAUGCAAAAGCAUUUGAUUGAUUUUCUCCAAACAACUCAGCACCAAUCUUGUGUACUUGAUCCAAACCACUAAUUGAAAGAUCUUUUAACCACAACAACCUUCCAAUCGAUGGUAGAGAUUUGCAAUUUUUACAAUUGCGAAGCUCCAAUGACAACAUAUUUUCGAAGGAAGAAUCUGCAAUCCAAGUAGAGAAUUUCGCACCACCAUAAUUCUGAAUGACGAGUUGCUCAAGCUUUUUUGGAGGACGAAGAGAGUCCAACACCCAUUCUUCAACUUCUUUAUUCCUUGAAGCCUUUUCAAAUUUUUCACUCCAAUGCAAUACCAAUCGACGAAUUCCCCGCUUCUCAUUUAACUUGGUUUCCCCUGCAUCUUCACCAUUAACAUUCUCCAACCCAGAAAGACGGAAAUCACCUUUGAGGUUUGACAAAUAUUUCAAACCUCUAAUAUAACAACCAUCACCUUCCCCUAUUAUAAAAUCAGUUAACCUUUGAAGUUUCGUUAGCUUAUCAAUUCUAAAAGGAAUCCUUUCUAUUGAGUCCGCACCUCUGAUAUCAAGAUAAUGCAAGUUGACAAGAUUUCCCAUCUUUGAAGGUAACCUUUGAAGCCAGUAACACCCUCUUAAUAAUAAAGUUUCCAAAUGGUAAAGAGUGCACAAAGAAUCAGGUAAGCAUUUGAUAUGGGUGUUGGAAAAAUUUAAGUAGCGAAGAUGUUUUAAAUUUUCAAAAACAUCAGGCAACUCAGUGAUCCAAUACCCACUCAAAGAAAGCAUCCUUAAGUAGCCAAGUCUUGGUAGCAAAUCAACCAAAACAACAUUAGUUAAAAAAGGCCCCCGAUAAUCACUAGAAAACAUUAAGGGUAAAAAAGUACGUAAAGAAUUCACUUGAUCAAAUGCUUCAAACUUCUUCACUGUGUCAUAUGUUCCAGCAAUAUAAGAAGAAUGUCGAGUGCGAUUUGAGAACUUCCAUUUCUUAUCACCCUCUAAUUUUGAGCAUAUUUCCCCUGCAACUACUUGAGCUAAAUCAUUGAUUAGGUCAUGCAUUACGAAUCGGGACUUAUCUUUACUGGAUGUCUGAAAAAAUGACCUGGACACUAGAUCUUGAAAAUAUUGAUUUCCGAGAUCUUUAAUUUGAGGCAUAGCUUUUUGUUGCAAGAGACCUUCUGCUCCCCAUAACAAGAUAAUUUCUUCUUCCUCAAAUUCAUAACCUUUAGGAAGUAUGGAGCAAUAUGCAAAACAUCGUUUCAAGUAUGACGGAAGAUGAUGGUAGCUUAAUCGCAAAGCUGGAAUUAUGCCACACUGCUCUUCUGGUAAGUUCCAUAUCUCACUCUCGUAUAUUCUUUCCCAUCCUGCAUAGUCUUUAACUGUGCGUAGCAAGCUUCCGAUGGCUUUUGCAGCCAAAGGUAAGCCACUGCACCUUCUAACAAUUUUCUCCCCAAUUUCUUUAAACUGGAGAUCUCUAUCGAAAUUUCUUUCUUUUAAUGCAUGCUGUGUAAAUAUGGAUAAACAAUCAUCAUCCGAGAGUUUAUCCAAAUGAAAAGCUUUGAGCGGAUCCACAAUAGAUGAAACAAUUUGAAGACGAGUGGUUACAAUGAUAUGGGUCCCUGCUCCAAACGGAGACCGUAAGAUGGUCCAAUCAUUAUAAUUCUCGUUCCAAAUGUCAUCUAAAACAAGCAAGAAUCUUUUCCCAGACAACUUCUCCUUCAACUUAACUUGAAGUAAAUUCAAGUCAUUCUCGUCACGAGAGUCAGGAUCGAUGGAUUUUAAAAUUGUCCUGGUUAUAUUAACUGCGUUAAAUUUAUCAGAAACGCAUACCCAGGCCUUGUGGUGAAAAGACUGGUUGAUGGUGGCAUCAUUGUAAACAAGCUGAGCAAGAGUUGUUUUACCCAUCCCUCCCAUGCCGACGAUGGAAAGGACUGAAACUCCGUUGGAGUUAUCACCUUUGAGAAACUCAAUCAUUUCUGUCUUCUCCUUGUGUCUGCCAACAUAAUCCACAACUCCAUCCAGUACGGAAGUUGGUUGCAGCCUAGGUUGCUUUCCCUUGGGGGUUGGAGCUUGAGACAAGAUCUCACUCAACCCCAAACUACUUCUUCGAGUAGUCAAACUAUUCAGUCUAGCAGUGAUCUCUUUCACCUUUGGAAUCAUGGAAUUCUGAAACAGGAAAGAAGUGGGAGGGAAAAUACUACGAAUAAUCCUUUCAGGAAUGAAUUUCCGUAUCUUACUAGGUCUGGCUUGAGCUUGAGUGUCUUGGAGAUUGAGGCGUAACUCUUCAUAAGCGAACUCGUCCAAGAUGUCAUCCACAUCGUAUGCCAAGUCCUGGAGAUCCUCCAACCAUUUCUUCACACCCAUGUUCUUGAUCUGCUUCCCCUCUGCAUCGUCCAACACUGCUUGGAUAUCAGGCAAUAUGGACUGCCACUGCUUGAGCUGCUGGUGGAGUUGGUAGUGAUCAGCAACAAAGUUGAGUGCAGAGUCAAGCGAUUUGCCCACCAACAGGUCCAGGAACCCAGAAAGAGCAGCCUCUCCAAUGACAGACAUGGUGGAAUUGUGAGAAAUAAGGGGACAAGAGAAAUGAGCAAAGCCAAAAUGGAAAGUCAGGGAACAAAAAAGAAAGAAAGGGAAAUGGAAUCUGCAAAAUUAGAGAAAGUUGAAGAAAUUGGCACAGUAUCCUUGAAGCAUGUCAUUUAAUAAUUCAGACUCUGAAGCAAUGAGUUGGAAGUCUUUUCGUGUUAAUGGGGAAGGAAAAAUGGAAAUGAUGGGACCUUUGCAUUUGAAUUUUGAUGCUCUUCUUUUCUCUUGCUUUUGGUCAUUAUCCUAAAUAUGUAAUUUAAUUAAACAUCAAAAUAUUAUAUUUCUCACAACUAUAUCGCCAAAAUAUAGCAAACACCAAGACCAUAUUUGGUUCGCUGUAAUAGAAUAGAGGCGUAAUGGAAUAGAGACGUAAUAGGUAAUUCUUUUGUUUGGUUGAGUGGAAUGGAAUAGAGGCAUAAUGGUAUUCUUGUGUUUGGUUGAAUGGAAUAGAGGUGUAAUAGCAUAAGGAAAAAAGCUAAAAUGACUAGAAUACCCUUAACAGAAUUUUUGUAAGUAAAUGAUUAUUGUUAUUGUUAUUAAAUUUUAAUAAGAUUAUUAAUAUAAAUAAUAAAUAAUUUAAUCAUAUUUUAACAUGGUUGUUAUUAAAUAUAAUUUAAUAAAAAUAUAUAAUUUAAUAAAAUUGUUAAUAAAUAUUCUUAUAUGAAUUUACUAAAAUCAUAAUAUAUAAUAUUAUAAAAUAUAAUUUAAAAUAAUUAUUAGUAAAUAUCAUUUAAUAAUAAUAUAUAAUUUAAUAAAAUUCUUAUUUUUAUAUGAAUUUACUAAAAUCAUAAUAUAUAAUACUAUAAAAUAUAAUUUAAAAUAAUUAUUAGUAAAUAUAAUUUAAUAAUAAUAUAUAAUUUAAUAAAAUUCUUAUUCUUAUAUGAAUUUAUUAAAAUCAUAAUAUAUAAUACUAUAAAAUAUAAUUUAAAUAAUUAUUAUUAAAUAUAAUUUAUAAUCUACUUUAUUAUUUUUAAACUGCAAUACAUAUUUAAUGUGGUAAAAUAUCAUUUGUGGAACAAAUAAUUUAAUUAUUCUACAAUAAAAAAAUAUUAGCAGUAAUAAAUAACUUUAGAAUUAUAUUUUGCAUAAACAUAAUUUUCACAUAUUAACAAACUGUUAAAUGAAAUUCAUGAAAUUCUAUAUCACAAUCCAUAUGUUAUACAGUUUUGCCACAUCAAAAAGUUAAAACAUUGUAAUAACAUAUCAUCCCAAAUAUUACAAACAGAAAAAGUUACGAAAAUGUCAUCAACAAAACCAUAAUUUUUAAUGGUCAGCAAGAAUUCUUCUGACCCAUUCCAACCGUACAUUCAGAAGGUAAACUAAAGAAAACGAGCAUUUGAGUUGGAUGAUCUGUAAUUUUACUCAAUGCUCGAAACCGCUCAUCCACAGUUAAACCUUCUAUUUCACAUAAGGUUGGAUAUAAAUUUGUAGCUUUUUCUUGGAUGGUAUGGAAUUCUUCUGACCUUUGUUGAACUACCACAUCAGAGGCAAUACUCCUACUGAUUUGUUCGCCAAUGGCCCGCAUGUUAUCAGUCAAUAAAGUGGCAGCUUCAUUAACUGAAGAAGAAAAAUGACCACUUGCAUCAGAAUUAUUUUUUUUCCUCUUUGAAGAUGAAGAACCCCUUUGGUUUCUAUCUGGUUGCGGCUCCGUAGCAGAAACAUCCAUGUCCUCCAAAGAGACAUUAUCAUCGCAGUCAUAGUAUUCGUUUCUUUCUUCAUUAAUAUCUGCAGUAGGUACAUCCUUAGCAUUUAUUUCUUCAAGAACGUCAGCGGCUGUUUGAGCGUCUUUCCCAGUCGCUCGAUCUUUUGCGUAUAUGGCAGUCAGUUGGUCGUAGUAAGGGAAACUACGAUGUCUGAACUGACCGGCUUCUUUAUGACUCUAUAAAAAAGAGGAAAUCAUAUUAGUUAUAAGUUUGGUAAAAAUAAGAUAAUAAAGACUUGAACUCAUUCUUACCUUUAAAUAAGAGUCCCAAACCGCAUCCUCAGCAACAACGACCUGCCUAUGGUCGUCCCAACCAAAACCGCUAUUGUUUUGGCCAUUAAACAUGUCAUACACGAUUGACCAAUCCCUUUUUAGUAACCUAAUCCUUGACUCGAUAUUAGGUCUAGCCUUCAACAUUGCAUUAGGUAAAGUCUUUUCUAACAUUUUUUCCAACUCGUUUAAGUAACCGGCUUUGAACCCCGUAUCAGUGUUAAAUGUUCCAACAUUGUGCAAGUCCACCAUGCAGGAAACCAAUGCUGCAGCUUCUUCUGAAACCCAUUUUCUUUUGGUUCCUCGAGAUGAUUGGGAAGGAACAUUUGAUUCUGAAACACCUGACAUAAUUAUCUUAAGAAAAAAAAUUAAAAUUAAGUUUAAUAUCAUGAAUCAAAAGGUGAACACUUUAUAAAAUUAAAAUUGAGUUCAAUAUCAUGAAUCAAAAACUCAACACUGUAUAAAAUUAUAACACAUGAUGAAUGAAAAGAAAUCAAACUAUAAUUCAACAAGUUUAGUACAAUACAAAAAACACAAAAACACCACCAAAGUUCCAUCCUCCAUAAAUCUAACUAAUUUCUAGAUGCUUGCCAUUCAUCAAACAUUUGGUUGGCUAGUUCCAUCUCCAAGUAGCCCAAGCAUCCGAUGGAUGAAUAUUGACGAUAUGAGGUUUAUCGUCAUCUACCACAUCACUAGGUAAUCCUUCUCCCACCUCCGCUUCAAUAGGAUCAAUACUCAUAUAGGUUCGAAUAAAAUUAUGGAGCAAACAACAUGCAUUAAUGAUUCUAUUGUGCACCCUUACAGGAUAGAAUGAUGGACUCCUAAGUAUUCCCCAUCUAAGUUUUAAUAACCCAAAGCAUCUUUCAAUAACAUUACGUGCUGAGGCAUGUUUCAUAUUAAAAAAUUCUUGCAGAGUACUUGGCUGAUAACCCUGACGCCACUCAUUCAAAUGAUAUCAUUGUCCUCUAAAAGGUGCAAGAAAUCCCUCACAAUUUGUGUAUCCAGCAUCAACUAGAUAAUAACAACCUAUUAAAAAAAUUUAAAAAUGAUUAAUUCCCCAAAAAAAAUUGAUCUUAAUGAAUAAUUCAAAGUCCUCUAACUAUCCACUUUACCAUGAGGAACUUUUAGUCCAUGUCUCCUACUAAUGGCAUCUCGAAGAACUCGCCCAUCAGCAACAGAACCUUCCCAACCAGGAAGAACAUAAACAAAUUGUAUUUUAGGUGUACAAACACCUAGAACAUUUGUUGCUAUGUCACCUUUUCGCGUUCGAUAUCUAGGUUUAUCAACCCUUGGAACCCUAAUCUUGAUGUGGGUUCCAUCAAGAGAACCUAAGCAAUUCUAUAUGACAUGUUAUAAAACCUUGAGUUAGGAUACUAAAUUUAAAUCUAAAUCAACUAAAUUAUGUACAAGCUAUAUAUAAAACUCAGUCCAAUACCUUAAACCAUUUCCACCUUCUGUCUGAAGAAUUAGCUGUAAUUGGCUCCGCUUUUUAAAUAACACAUCUUGUAAGCGUAUGACAGCAUUUAAAACACUAUGAAAUGAUCUGCUAACAGUUUCCCCGGACCUAUUGAAGUGAUGCUUGAUAACUCGAUUUUUAAGGUGAUAGGAAAUGAUAUGUAAAAACAUUGCUACUUGCUCAUCAACAAGCAUGUGCCUUGACGACUUCAAUCCCCCUAACGUUUGUAAUAUCUCACAUAGUUUGAAAAAGGAAAAUCUAUUCAUCCUAACUUGUUCAAUACAGGUCUCAUCACUAGCAUAUACAAGCCUUUUCACAUAAUCCCGUUGUGCAUAAAAAUCUAAAAUAUAGGACCUAAUCAUUGGUCUAUAAGUAUGUAGGCUAUUGAUGGCACCCAAUGUAAGUAAAAACCAACUCGCAAUUUUACAUAUUUCCAACCAUAUUGUCAAUGCAAUUCCAAUUCUUUUACGCCUCACACUUUGUGCAAUUAAAGGCAGACGAGCCAUUACUGCAAGAUAUUAAUGUGUUCCAUAUUGUCAAAUCGUAGUAAAAUGGUCACAUUUCUCCAAUCAUAAUUUCAAUAACAGUAAACUAAAAUUAAAUAAUUUAAUUGCCAAAGAACUUACAGUGAUUGUGUGAAAAGAAGACGCUGAAUUGUAGGUGGAGGAAGCAAUCAAACAAGCCGCUUCAAUAGGAAGCAAUAUCACACUAUCAAAGAAAAAUGAACAAUACUAGUUUAAAAUCUUAACCGUAUUUUUUGACAACAAUGUUACAAAUUUAACAUUAACAAACCACAUUUUUCUUUAAAGAAUUUUUAGAAGCACUUUCAAUCAUAAUAACAAUGAAUACUUGUUUUCUUUAAACAAUUUUUACAAGCACUUUCAAUCAUAAUAACAAUGAAUAUUUGUUUUUUAAUCAAGUUGUUUACUUGAUUAUAUCUAAUGAUCAAAUUUUAAUAUAUCCAAUAAUUGUUUUUUAAUCAAGUUGUUUACUUGAUUAUAUCUAAUGAUCCAAUUUUAAUAUGUUAUAAAUAUUUGUUUUUUAAUCAAGUUGUUUACUUGAUUAUAUCUAAUGAUCCAAUUUUUAUUUUAUUUUAUUUACUCAUGAUUGGAUUAGGUUUAAUUUAUAAUGGUUGAAAAGUCGAUAUAUAUGUAAUAUUAUUAAAAUAAUAUUUUUAAUUUUGUUGGAUAUAAAAAUAUUUUUAAUUAAUGCGUUGUAUAUGAAUAUACACAUUUAAUUAAUGUGUUGUAUAUGAAUAUACAUUAGUGCAAGAAAUCCUAUAAUUUCGUACAGGUCUCGUAAUUGCUCGAUUAAAAUUUUCGAACUACCUCAACUUAAGAAAUUCGAUCCCAAAUUCAAAUUUUUCAAUACCAAUAAAAAUCAACUUAUUACAUCACCACUUGCAAAAUAUAAUUAUAAAAACAUUACUAUGGAGUAAGCCAUAAAAAAAAACAGUCCAAUUUACUGGAAUUGCAACUAUAAAAAACCUCUUGAAUUGCAACUAUAAAAUACCUCUUGAAUUGCAACUAGAGCUUCAGCUUGCCAACGAUUUAUGUCUGGAGCAAAUCGGUAGCUAACAGUCCAAUACGUACAAAAGUUCACAUAGAACAUCAAUUUAUUGGAACAACAGUGGUCAGAUACACCAGGCGCAAGAAAUUUAACAAGGGUGCUAAUAUACAAAAGAAUUUACACUUCUAAGCAUUAGAAAUCAAAUUAAAAUCAACUAGUAUUAAAAUAAUUAUCACAAUAUUUGUAAAAUUUAUAAUUAUAACAAGUGGCAAAUUAUUAUUUUGUCAAUUAAAGGAGCACAAUCCUUAACUGUCAGCCUCCUGGUCACUAAAGGAACACCAAGGUACCUAAUAGGCAGCCUUCCCAUGUUAAUCCCAAUAAUUCUAAGAAUAUCCUCCAUUUCCUCUCAAGAAUCCCAGAAGCAAAAAUUUCAGUCUUUGCAGGGUUAGGCUUUAAACUAGAAAAACAAAUUUAGCAUCACAUCAGGUAAGUGCUUUGUAAGUCAUUUAACCAAAAUCCUAGUGAUACACUCACAAAAAAGCAGAGCAGUAUGAGAUUGGCCGAAACUUCCUCAUAUGACCAGGAUUUUUAACCUUGGGAACUAAUACAAUUGUGGUUGUAUUAAAAGCAGGCAACAACUUAGAGUAAUUAAAAAAACAACACUGCUCUAAUCACAUCAGCGCCUACGAUAUGCCAUGCAACUUUGAAAAAAUCCCAGGCCAAUGUUUGCAUAGUUGGGUGUUGUGAAGGUUCCGGCAAUGCGGUUAGAUGCAAAACUCCACAUGCUGAUAGGAUGAACACAGAUGAUUACAUAGACAACAUCAUUCUUGUAGCAGACACAGAACCUAAAUAAUUACAACAUGUCAUAUAAAAUAGCGCAGUUACCAAAAGGCAACCUAGGCACUUGAGGUAGACAUACUUCAGGAAGCAUUUCCAUGUUUGGUAUGCAGCUAAUGUUUGUUUACCAAUCUAGCAGUCCAUUUUGAAUUAACCCUACCAUUAAUACACAUGUAUAUUACACACUAAAAGUCAAAAGGAGAAGAGUAAUAAGAUUUCCUCAUGUAUAUAUUACACACUAAAACCAUGUCGGAUAUAUGCUUAUAUCAAAGCACUCACACAAAGUAACAUAGAAGAAGGUUACUUGACAUAAAUAGAAUGUCCUAAAAACCCUCUGAUUGAUGCAAACUUACCUCUUUUCAACUUUCAAGGUAUUGACACUAGGUUUAUGAAAAUUUCCCUUGACAGACGAUUUGAUUUCAAUUUCAACAUAUUCCAAGCCAAGACAAGCUAAAAUAAGUUAUCAUACAAUUUCGUUUCAUAUCAAUGUUAUAAAUAAAUACCCUAUCCUUAAGAAUGACAAAGCAUCUUAAAUCAGAAAAUUUCAUUCUAAAACUGCUAUUGAUAAUUUAUAUAUAAAAGAGCCAAAAUCACCUAGAAGUUGAAUCACUAGUAGAUAUAAGGAAGAAAAUGAAAGUACCUAGAAAAGAAAGCACAAACAUAAAUCCCAGAAAGAAACAAAAAUUGAAACGAAAAGAAAAGGUAAACAAUUCGGAAACAAACCAGCAAUGAACUGAAACAAAACUUAACCAAUUAGAGGGUAUGAUCUUUACAAUUAAAAGCAUCUUACAGAGCAUCGGGAAGAAGAAGACGAAGAGUUCUCCUUGUCUCUUUUCUAUACGCUUUUAACUGUAUUUUCCCCGACUCUGGGAUUUUUUUGAUUUGUCUGCUGAAAUUGAAAAAAAAGGAUCAAGAAUCAAGCAUGUUGGUCAUGGGAACAAAUUUAAUAACACUAAUCUAUUUGAGAGAAUUGUUAAAACCCCUUACAUUCCAAAAAAGGAUUAACUAAAUCUUCUUCCAGUUCACAUUGAACAAUCUGUUCCAAUUCACAUUCAUCAUUCAAUAUCUCAAACCUAUUUUCAGAACCAGAAAUAACAGCUUUCCCUUUACCCUUCGAAGAUUUCCUCUUAACCAUACUUGAAGCACUCCCCUGUAACUCAUUCGCAGCCAUUACAACUUCUAAUUUUUUAUCAAAUGAAUUAAAGUUUCAUUUUAGGAAUAUAUUAAAUCUUUGAUCACGAAAAUUGGGAUUCAUGAUUCAAUUCAACUAGUUUAAGCCCUAGUUUUCAGAAACCUUAGAUGCCAAUUUUUAACGAUAGUUACAUGAUUCAACUAAUUUGAUGAAUCAAGUCUUACUAAAACCUCAUUUUAAAGGUGAAUGCAUGAUUCAAUUUCUAGAAAUGUUGAAUCUUUCAUCAUAGACAUAAAAGGGAAAACACGUUGAAAGAAAAAUGUUAGGGCAGACAAUGUUUACCUUGAUUGAAUUGGAAAGGUUUUCUUGAGGGUUUCUUUGGAGAUACUUGUUGGGAUUUGAAGAACAGAAGUCUAUUUUUGGACUUCCCUACUCACUGCAUUUGAAGAACAGAAUGGUGCGUUUGGUUCGACAAAACAAUCAAAUGAAAGUGAACCGGGAGCGGUGGAGGUCACUUUGCUGGCAGCUUCUAUUUGAUGUUGGGAGGGAGAGUUCUGGAGGUGGAUUUUGGCUUGGGAAGAUGAGGGUAAAACAGGGCAUAGAAAUUCUAAGAAUGCUAAACGGAAGCUAAACUGAACUUUGGGCAGGGAAUAGAAAUUGGUGAGUAAGGAGGAAUACGUACGCAAUGUAAUAGGCGCGUAAUGGGCAUUAGAGCGAACCAAAUGCUGGAAUAAGUGGGGCCCACCGAUUCGGCGCGUAAUGGUAUACCCAUUACGUCGAACCAAACAAAGUGCAAUACUCAAAAUUUUUGAAUCACAAAUAUUUACAGUAUUUAGCAUAUAGAAAACAAAAUUCUGAAAUUAAAUAAUAAUUUUUAUGAUUUUACAAUUUUAAUAGUUUAUAUCUUUAUAAAAUUUAAAAGAUUAAAUUAGAUUUUUAUCAUAUUUAAGGGAGUAAAGUGUAAUUUUAUAUUUAUUAAUUUAAAAUUUUAAAAUAUUUAAAGAGCUUAAAUGAAAAAUUUUUUAUUUUAGAGGACCAUGCCAACCCCUAGCUACGCCCGAGAUUGAUUGUAGCUAUAUUGUUAAUUGAUUUACUAUUUUACUAUUUAUACUAUUAUUUAAGCUUAUGACUAGUUGAUGUCACGAGUUAAUCAAGUACCAACUUGGUUAAAGAAAAUAUGAAAAUGUCACUCUAGUCUUUUUAUUAUAAAAAAAUAAAAAUAUGUGCAUAUAAUGGGAUUUUGAACCCAUAUCAAUUACAUUAAUAAAAUUAUUAAUUUACCACUCAACUAAAACUUUAAUAUUUUUAUACAUUUUUAUUUUAUUGUGCACACUUUAUUGUUAAUUAAUUUCAAACAUUAUGCUUUAAUUAUUUAUUGUAUGUUAUAUUCAAACGCACACUUAUAUUCUAAAUAUAUGAUUCCCAAACAUACGUGUGUGAUAAGUAUACUAAUUGUAACCUAUCUUACUAAUUGUUGUACUAAUUUAUGAUUUGCUUUCUUACUAGCUAGAUCUGUUAGCCAAACUCAAAUUACCUUCCUUUUAGAUCAAUUAAUUGACUUAAACCUAACUCAAUUACAUUUCUUUCUAGAGUGAUUAACCAAAAUAAUCGACCGAACCAAUUAAACGAGAUUGUUUCUAUUAUUAUAUUUAUGAAAUCAUGAUCGUUUAGUUAUUGGUAUUUUUUGUUGGGGUUAGGUUAAUUUAAUUUUCAAUAUUUCUAAACUAAAAUUUACAUCUAGAUUUGAUGAUGAUUGCUUGUCCACAGUUCAUGGGUUUCAAUUAUACCAACCUAUUCAAUCUUCUUUUUUCCCUAAUGCAUGUGAGAUCUCUUUUUCUUUUCCUUAGCAAAGUAUUUAGGGUCUCUCUUUUUUGGUCAAAGUAAUCUUUAAAUUUAAUAAAAUAAUUUAAAAACCCUAAUCACUUCUCCAUAAUUGAUGGAACUUACAAGUAUAAUUAACAAAAAAAAAAUACUGUUAUAAAUAAUUUAUGUCUCACCAAUUAUAACUAUAGAAUCAACUUAGUAUAGAAUACAAAAAGACUAAAAUCUAAUUAAAUACAAACAAAUAACAUUAAGAGUGAAAUAUAGGAAAGAACCCACACAUGAUAUUUACGUAUUAUGAAACUCAAACUUGGGCUCUCGAGUCCCAACAAAUCUCAUUGGCUCAUAAGCAAAUAUUUUAAUGUAUAACUAAAUUCAUUACUGAAUCAGUACUCUAGAAAUUAGUUAUUCUUAAGUUGAAAGAUUUGUAUGUAUAACAAAUUUAUAUAGUUUUAGAGAAGAAGAUGGAAGAUGGCCAAAUAGAAAGGACCAUUGGAAGGAUGAUAGUGAAGUUCCAGUUCCUACUCAGUUUCUGGUAUUAAAGAUGAUGGACAAUGUGGAAGGGAAACUAUUGAACAGGUCAUAUUGAAGAAAUAGUAGGGUGAUUAUAACCAAAGUGUAUUAAGGGUCGGACCUUGGCUUUUGAAUUUUGAUGAAAUCUCUCUGCCAUUUCUGAAAUUCCAAUUUUCCUUUAAGGAAAACGAUGACGACGAUGCCAAUCUAAUUCCCAUUCAAUUAAACCCUGAUCUCGAUCACAAUGCCAUCUACUGCCCAUAUAUCAAGUUAUUAUUUCCAUUCACUUUAAAGCCUGUUGUAGUUUUGGUUCAAUUUAAUAUUGCCAUUAAACAUCAUGAUUAAUUGACACAAUAUAGCAACCACACACAUGUCCUACUUUCUUUUGGGGUUGAAAACAUCACUGUAAAUGCAAAAGGAGAGAAGGUGAAGCCUUUCAAAUUCUCCACAUGCGAAAUGGUGCUGACAUGUCAGAUGGGCUGAUGUGGCAUACUAUGUUAGAAAAAUUAUAAAAAUAUUUUAAAAUUAAUAAAACAUAUAUAUACAUUUAGAAUAAAUCUGGACAAUGGUUAUCCAAAUUCAAAUGAAUUUGGACAAAACAAAUAUAGCCUUUAUACCAAAGCAAUUAGUUUUAUAUUAGAGGUAUUAGAGUUUAGGUUCUAUUUUGUUAAUCUACUUAUACAUGUUAUCUAAUAUGUUAAUUUUGUCUCAAAUUCAAAAAUAAUUGGUGCUCAAAAUGAUUCAAACCUAAGAUGACAUAAGUUUGAGAUGACCCUAUUUGAAAAACUUAAAUGGUGGUAAUCCAAAAUGGCUCAAACAUGAAACAACUUAAACCCAAAAUUGACCCGAACCAUAAUGACUCUCUAUUUAUAGCAGUAACAGAAAGGCAAAAUAGUAAAUAUGAAAGGGAAAAAGAGUAAAAAUCGUAGGGUUACCAUUUCCGUGCAAUAGUAAAAAAUAUAUUUUGUUGCCAAAAUUUUCGCAACCGUCAAAAAUCGAAAAAUGUUUUAAAGAAAUUAUUUUUUGAAAAAUAAUAUUGAUUAAAAUUAGAGAUAAAUUAUGGAUGAAAAUAUUGAAUUAUUUCAAAUGAUGAAGAGCAACUUUAAUAAUGUAGAGGGACUGGGUCGGUGUACCGAGGAUGAUACUUCGAAGGCUACUCUCAGAAGAGUCGAUCUGUAGCUCAAGUGGUACCAUAUACCUCAACAAUUGACCUAUAUUCAAUAGGUUAAGGGUUCGAAUCUCAUCAAGGGUGAGACUCUCAUGUCGCCUCUUAGUGGUGAUUGCAAGUCCACAUACGGUCAAGGCACCCCUUUUUGUGAGUAGUACAUGGCUCUCCACGGAGUGGGGGACAAAACCCUCUCACAGGGGAUAAUACCUUCUGUUGUUGAGACACUGGAUCGGCAUCCUCAAAGACGGCACUUCAAAAACUUCUCUCGAAUAAGCCGUCCCCAUUAACAAAUAAAUAAUUACUCUACACAACCGUAUUCUAUCUUUUAAAAUUAUUAUUUUGUCCCUUAAGAUAUCCAUUAAUCUUUUUAUGUAUUUCUAAUAUACAUGCUAUAUAUAUAGUAAAAUGAUAUAUAUAUAUAAUCUACACUAAAUAUGAGAAGAUUAUAAAUAUAAUAAUCUAUAAUUACUAAUGAAAAUUUUGGUUUGUACCGUUCACAUUGGCCGAAACAUGGUACACCUACUACUGCUGCAUUAAUAAUGUUAAAAAAUAUAAAUAUUUUAACUAUUUUCUAUUAGACUAAAUAUUUAAUUGAAAUGUAUUGACCAAUAAAAAAAAUAUUACACUAGAAAGUAAAAUUUAACAUUUAAAAUUUUUUUUGGAGCAUACUUUUUCAUGUAAAAUAUAAAAAUUAAAAUAUAAUAGAAAAAAACCCACUCACCUCAUUAUCAUACAGCUUUUCUUAUUGAAAAAACCCCCCACAUCCUUCAAUUUCUUUUUUUCUUCUUAAUUUUGAAUUUUUUGAAUGAUGAGUUUUGUAUUUACUGUGGUUGUUUUAUUAAUAAAAUUAUGUUUUGGAUUGAGAAAAAAAAUUAAGAAAUUCAAAACACAAAAACGAAAGUAGAGAAAGUGAACACAAUAAUUUAUGUGAUUCGGAAUAUUUCCUACAUCCACGGAUAGAACCAAAAAUAAAAUUCACUACUAAAAAAUGGAGAUUACAAAGGAAUUACAUAAUAAAAUAAAAUAACUCACCACAAUAACUAUCCACAAACUUUGAGCAAUCUUCUAAAUAAGCAUCAACUAUACACUUUCCACAAAUUGAAAAAUACUGGCAAUAAUAAAUAACAAGUGACCAACAAUCUCAAAAUGUCAAAAACAAUACUUUAUUUCAAACAUCCUAACCUCUUAUCAAUCAUCAAUGGAGGCCUAAGAUAAGUUGAUUUGUGUAGAUAGAAAUAGAUGAUGCUAAAAGCAUUACAAAAAAAAAAACUUACCACUCCAUUCCUUUUGUCAACAUCUGUUGACCAACGACGUUGUGCUGUUGUUGUGCCCAUAAGCAGGUAUUGCCCUCUUUGGAUGCCCACCAUUCAAGGGUUUAACACCCAAAGAUACGUACACCUCCCCAGUGGUACCAUUUGGCCUUUUAUCUGCCACCAAUUUCAUGGUUCCCAAAGUUGAAAGAAAGUACAAGGCUAAAUAAAUAGCAUAUUUGGCUCCUCAACUACAACUUUGUACCAAGCACCAAAAUAUGAUCCAACACCGGAAAGGAAUGUCAGAAGAACAAAUUCUCCAUAUAACCUAUACUUGCCCUAUCAAAAACAUUAAUAACAUCACAGUUGAAGCCCUUCAAAGCAGGGGAAAUUCAUAUAAAGAUUGGUAGAAAAUAUGCCAAUCUACUGGACCGAAAAGCUGAAAAACAACAUUAAAAGAGAGUGGAUAUAUAUCAUUUGAUUCAUUUAACUCAUACCUCAAAGUCAAAAGCAAGAGAGUCGAUAUAUAGUGAGUCACUUAGUCACUGCUAUUUUUGGGAACACUCAGGCUGGAAGUGAAAACCCCAAAUUGCAGCUCAGUGAACUCUGUUGUGUUUAUGUUAAAUUGAGCUCUCUAAUGCCAUGUUGUAACGUGUACUGUAUCCCUCCAUUCAUCCUGAAAGGAUCAAUACCAUGUCUACAGUGAUGACGAAAUCUGUUGGCACUGAUAUCCUUAUGCAAUAACAGAAAUCUAUCCACAAAGAUCAACAAACUAUCACGUAAAAGACUUGUUCUUCUGAAACACCAUUGGUUAAUAGUACAAUGAAAUCUCAAAUAUUUUUAACUAAAAUCCCAUUCCCAUAUACCAAUUUCAUAGCAACUGCUUAGAAAUUAGAAGAUGCAGAUGAAAACAGAACAUUCAAUUUGCAGAAUAAAUGUUGCAGAGAUUUGACUAACCGCUUUACUAAAUCAAAUAAGCUGAAGCAGACCAGUUGAAGGUCUCCUCUAUGUUUCGCCAGUUUAGCCUUCAAUGCCUGCAAAAAGUAAAUACAAAAUAUAUAACACCGAUUUCUAUUAUCGUGUUGUUGAUGAGGACAGUCAGAUAUAUAUAAAGAAAAGGUAAUGAAAUUGAUAAAUGUUUAAAAUGCGUUUCGCACCUAUGGUUUGAGUGUGGAGAAAUCGAUGCUAGAUUUUGCUGCUUAAAUUUCAAUAUAAUUCCCUCGGGUUGACUAUUUCACCAUCAAUUCGAACAUAAGGUAUGUGGGCAAUCUUGGACCACUCUCGUCCUUUACCCCUACUGCACCCUUUUUCUAGCAACGGGCAAUCAUAAAUAGAUAGAGGCUCAAGCGAGAGAAGCAUAUCUUUUUCCGAAAGAGAUGUGAGCUUAGGACAAUCAUCGAUUCGCAAUUUUUGAAGAGAGGUCAGGUAUUGAAAGCCCUUGGAGCACAUGAAUUCCAAAUUCUCAAAAUUUUUAAUGGAAAUAGAUGUGAGAGAAGGAGGCAGCGUCAUUCCUAUCCCUUCUUCUGGAAACGACACCACAUUUGAGCAUCCUUCACCGCUGAUGUUGAGUUGCUGAAGAGAGGUGAGUCUGUUAAAUCCCCAUUGAACAAGUGAUGUAUAAAUUUUGGGUGCGUUUGAGAUUGCAAGUGAUGUGAGGUUGGCAGGGAAACCCUCUUCUGGAAAGGAUAUGUCAGCCGAACAAUAAGACACCUUUAAUUCUCGAAGGGAGGUGAAGUUGUUGAUGCACUUGGGAAGGACUCCAAAAUUUUCACAAUUCUUAAUUGCGAAAACUCUGAGAUUUGUGGUGGGCAACCCACUUUCUUCAAAUGAAACCAGAUUUGGACACAAUUUUAAUCGAAUCUCUUGAAGAUGGCUGAGCUUGUCUAAUCCCCGCGGUAAUGAUUUAAAUUUUCCAGCACCCGAAAUACGAAUGCUUUCGAGAUCAGUGGUUUCAAGGAAGUCUUGGGAUAUGCAUUCCAACACUGGACAAUCCCGAAUAAAUAGCUUUUUAAGCAUUACGGGUAACUUGGCGUUUAAAAAUAACCUACUUAGCUUUGAACACUCCAUAAUUUGGAGAUGUUGAAGCCGAUUGCAUAUAUCGCCCCUUGAUGAUAACCAUAUUAGAGAUGGACAGUAGGUUAUUUGCAAGCGCUCAAGAAGACAAGUGUUGCUACUCAUACUCAUACUCUUAUUAUUAUUUUCUUUUUCAUCAACCAAAUAUUGCAAAUUCUCGCAAUUCCCAAUCCACAGCUCUUUUAAAGCAGGAGGAAAGUUACUCUCUGCAAAAGAAACCAAGCGUGGACAGCUUUCAAGUUGCAUGGUUGUAAUGAAUGGGAAAGCAUGUAAGGCUUCUGGUAGUCUAUUGAGCCUUUCACAAUUAUUUAUUACCAGAGAUUCAACACCCGGAAUCUUAUCAAGUUGCAAUCUCUCCUCUCUGUUUCCAAAGAGACCAAUUGCGGACAAUUCUCAAUCGUGAUGAAACGAUGCCCGCCUAAUCUUAACCCAAUUUCCGAUAAAGAUCCCAACUCUUUCCAACCAGGGAUGUAGAAUGUUUCGGAGUUUGCAAAUCUCAACAUUAUCCUCUCUGCUGAAAUAUUAACAUUUGAAAUAUUUGACAAACACAUCUUUCAAGGAGGUAACCUUCUGUACAGACAAAGAACCUUCAUCCACCAAUUCUUCACACCCUCCAACCGAUAAUUCACACAGCAAGGGAAAACUUGAAAUUGAAACUACCAGUCUCUUACACUCGUAGAUUUCAAUUGUCUGCAAGGAUUGAAGGAUGGUUGGCAACCUUCCCAGCAAUAGAGGACAUUCUCUGACUGAAAGAAAACGAAGGCUGGGGAAUUUCGAUACUUGCUCAUCAUCUUCACAUAGGUCCCACUCCUCCCAAUUCAGCAUAUUGUCAAAACGCAGAGACUCUAAUGAUGCAAAAGCAUUUGAUUGAUUUUCUCCAAACAGCUCAGCACCAAUCUU
rnacentral:lncRNA from 1 species